rnacentral:rRNA from 1 species
CAGUAGCCGCGGUAAUACGAAGGGUGCAAGCGUUACUCGGAAUUACUGGGCGUAAAGCGUGCGUAGGUGGUGGUUUAAGUCCGUUGUGAAAGCCCUGGGCUCAACCUGGGAAUUGCAGUGGAUACUGGGCGACUAGAGUGCGGUAGAGGAUAGUGGAAUUUCCGGUGUAGCAGUGAAAUGCGUAGAGAUCGGAAGGAACAUCUGUGGCGAAGGCGACUAUCUGGGCCAACACUGACACUGAGACACGAAAGCGUGGGGAGCAAACAGGAUUAGAUACCCCCGUAGUCCCUGUCUCUUAUAC